UACGUAGGGGGCAAGCGUUGUCCGGAAUCAUUGGGCGUAAAGCGCGUGUAGGCGGCUUCGUAAGUCCGUUGUGAAAGUCCAGGGCUCAACCCUGGAAUGCCGAUGGAUACUGCGGAGCUAGAGUCCGGAAGAGGCGAGUGGAAUUCCUGGUGUAGCGGUGAAAUGCGCAGAUAUCAGGAGGAACACCAAUGGCGAAGGCAGCUCGCUGGGACGGUAACUGACGCUGAGACGCGAAAGCGUGGGGAGCAAACAGG
rnacentral:rRNA from 1 species